AGGCCUUGAGAAGGGAUCAUACCCCAACAAGGAGGAUGUUGAUGGCUGUCAGUUUACUGAAUGUUUUUUUGAUACACUCCAAGGGGAUAUGGUUGGUGAACCUACCUUGCCUUUGAACAGUAAGGAAAAUCUUUCAAGAAGUAGACCUGUUCCCUUGGGGGAUGAAUGCUACUUGACACCUAGUAGGGACAAAGCAGAAGAAAAAUCUGAUGGUGGAAUAUCAGAGAAACAGAGGAAAAAACCUGUUGAUUUUGCAACUGUAACAAUUGCUGAGUUUGGGAUUACUCAAGAAAGUUUUACUAAACGAUCUAUAGGGAAGUCUCCAACUUUGUUAAAAUUCAGACGAAGAUCAGCAAUUGGAGUACGGGGAUCACCAGAAAAUAACACCCUUAUUCAAUACAUUGCCCAACAGAGAAGCAAGAGGCAAAAAGAAGCUGUUACACAGCAGGUUAGUCCUUUUAAACAUGAAGAUGUCAGGCCAUUGAAGGACAAAAUAGAUGCCUUUCAAACAUCUUUUAAAUCAGUACAAAAAGCGGAAGGGGAAACUGGCUUCUCUGGACUGUCACAAGUGGAUGAUGCUUCCCAGGAAGCAGGCUCUUCUCAGAACAAAGUAUCUUUUACAAAGGAGUGGAACCUGGAUCAGUGGAGUGAAAAGUUCAUGUCAGACAACAGUGGAGCUGAUUUGAAAGAAAAUUUAAGACAAAAUUUGACCAACAGCAGCAAGUCUGAUACCAAGAUAUGCACAAUCUUGUCUUUACACCGAGAUGUGGCUAUCGCUGAACCUGUUGCUGCUGUUUCAAAGGAAUGGGCUUAUGAGCAACAGAAUCCUAUUGAGUCGGAGGCUGUUCUAACUAGAGAUAUCUUAGAAACAGGCCAUGAUUUAAGUUCUGACCACAUCACUAAAGACUUCGGAAGUAAUGUUGUAUUGGAUCUAAGCAGAAGGAAAGUUUAUUUUGCGGAAGAACCGAGCCUGGAAAUAUUUGAUGAAAGCAAGCCACCUGUCACGCCGCUGCAAACGGGAAAUAUUGCAUGGAAUGAACAUACACGGAGUGGCUCCCAUCUGCGAUCUGUAUUAAAGAAAACACCGGUGAAACAACUAAUUAAUAGCGUAAAGGAAUACUCGAACAAUGCAGCUGGCAGAGGAGGAGGUGAAUCUCUCACAGUUUCCAGUUGUUCAGAAAUCUCUGAAGCAUUGCAAACAGAGAAAACUGAGAGACAUAGCUCUGAAAAGGCAAAGAAGAAAAGAGUUACCUUUGGAGAAGUUCUAAGCCCAGAAAUAUUUGAUGAAACUUUGCCUGCAAAUACUCCAUUGCGCAAAGGAGCAACCCCAGUCCGUUAUCUGGGAUUACAAAGCAAUAGCCCUUUUGCAAGGUUAAGUCUCCUUGAAGAACCGCUAUCCCAGCCAAACUUUGAUUGCAGUGAUGAAUGUGUUGAACCUCUUCAAGAGUUAGUGGAGGGUUCUGUUGCUGCAGAAGACCUCUUUCCUGUUGAAAGUGCAGAAGAAACUGACAAAUCUGAUAUGAUAACAACUCGUUCUUCUACUAAAAGGAAGUGUAGCACCAUUUCAGGGGGGACUGAAGUUAACAUCUCAAGAGCCACAAAUGCUAAGAAUGCUAAAAAUACUAAAAAUCCAAGGAAGAACAAGUUUCAAAACCAAACAAAUAUAACCACGUCUGCUGCCAAGAAGACGCAAUCUUCUCCAUCUUUUCAGAAAACAAAACAUACAAGCUAUGGGAAAAGAAGAAAGAAAAAAGUAAAAAAAUCUUUAUAUGGGCAAAGAGAGAUGGCUUCUAAGAAACCUCUUCUCAGCCCUAUCCCUGAAAUUCCAGAGAUUUUCUUUUCUGCCUCGUCUCCAAACUCACCAGAGGCAGAUGCAUUUAUUUCGGAGGAUAUAUUUUUAGAUAAUACCAAAUCCAGGAAUGCUCACAAGGAUGUUCAACAGAAGCCAGUGGUUGAAAGAAUGGGAGCAGAAGACAUCUGUGCAGUUCAUAUGUAUUCAAGCUCUAAGGACCUGGACGCUGUGGAAGCCAGCACCUCCAGUGAUGCAGUGUUUCAGGUGUCAGAUGGUGAUCUGAAGUCUGUUUCUGACAUUCAUGAUAAGUUUUCAAACAUUGUGCCAGAUGCAAAGUGUGGUUUUGAUACAUCUGACUAUUUCCAGCAAGGUAAAGAGACUGCGUAUGUAAGAGAAGCAAAAGAAAGUCAUUCCGUGACAGAAAAUGAGAACUUACAAGGAAGUCUCCUAAAUAAGGCAGAGCAGAUAACCAGGCUAGAAUUUCUAGAACAACAGGACACUAAUGUACGUGAGGGUGUCCAAAGAACUUGGUGUCCACAAAAAGAUUCUAUAAGAGGUAGUCCACGAAGAAGAAGUAGUGCCAUCUAUUUUCCCCCUGUUGAAAAAUUGGAAAUAACUGGAAACCAUCUUCCAGUGUUUUCUUUUAAUGUGGAAGAAGUCUUGUCUGCUCCUCAGCUAAACAAUGACUCCUUAGAGCCUUUUGGAAAAAGGAGCGGUGGCAGUGGCAAAAAAUGUGUGAGACGCAGCAUGAGAUUUCAUAAAGAUGCAGAAACUGAAGGGCUUGCAUGGAUUCAAGUACCCAGUGAGAUUGAAAAGAACCCUCCCCUGCUACCUUCUGCUCGCAAAAUCAGAACAAUAAGCACAUCCAUCCUUACAGAAUCUGAGAAUAUUCACCACAGAGAACAAAAUCUCACUCAGUUUUCAGCACCAGGGAAGGAGAACAAUGACUCUGUUCAUCUUGGUGGUGGUUCUUGCAAAAAAUGGAGGAAGAAAAGCAUGUGUGUAUCUGCACCUCAAGAAACAAGAAUGUGGUCUCAGACCCGGAAAAGGAGCAUAACAAAUUCUGUAUAUAGGAAGGACAGAAGUAACCAAAAACACUCUGAAGAAGUAGAAAUACCUCUUGAAAGUAACUCUAACAUUUAGCGAGGUUUCAGCUACCUCUGAUUUUCUGAAGUGAAGGUCAGUAUUAGAUUCUUGUGUUCUCUCUUAAGUGCUGUUUUCUUCUCUGUCUCACUUAUAUUUCCUUACUUACUAUUUCCUUAUUCAUUUUCUGGAUAACUGAGAUCUGACUUUUGAUGUGUAAAAUGCUUGAAGAUCAGAACCAUGUGGAAGACCUAGCUUGGCUCAGAGCAUUGGUCUGGUUAAACAGUCAUGGCAGGUAAUCAAGAGGAUACAAAUUUUUUCUCCCAUGAUGAACUGAAUUUGACAUCUCCUCUAUUGCUUACAUGUUUUCAUAUUUUUAGUGCUGUCUAUAGAGCAAUAGCAAUUAAACACUGCUAAUGUUAAAAAACUCAAUAAGUGACCGACUUUCUCUGCAACACCAAGUUCAGUCAUUUCAAGAAGGCAAAGCCUAAUUUUUCUCAGCUCUAGGGGCCAGUGAAUUUUGUUGCAAGAUACAGCAGUAAGAAUAUACAACAUCUAAAUAAUGUUUAUGCAUACAUUUCUAUGCAUGUUACCACAGUCUGGGAUUUUCUUGUGUUUAGGUGAAUACGUUUACAGUUGUGGUACCUGCACAAAAAACCUGUGUGGGUUUAUUGCCCUUGAAACUUAGUCGUGACUGUUAGACUGGCUGUUUCUUGCUACGUUUGCUCUGCUCUCAAAUGCACAAUCAAUACAUGAAGUUGCUAAAGGGAGACGCGUCAGCAAACACGUGUGAGACUCGGCUGUUUAAGUAGAGAGGAAUGAAUUUGAUAGUUCAGAAGUAUGGUCUGACAAGUUACUCUUUAGAUGAUUGGGAGUUGAUACUAAUCCAUAUUUUGCUGAUCCCUAUUUUCAUUUUUUUGAAAGAAUGGGAUUCAAUCUUAAGAUUUUAUUAUAUUUUUGAAGUGUAAUUGAAGUAGAUAAAAGUGAAUUUGUCUGUAGUAGUUAAACCGUGAUGUUGUACAAUAUGCCCUUUCAGCUAGAAUUGCUUUAAGUGUUGAGGUUUUCCCUGUACUUGAUCAUUCCUUCUAAAUCGCUUUUGAAAUCUGCAUGAAUUUUCUUCCAGAUUUCAAAAAUAUCCUAAAAAAACCCCCUUGAGAUUCUCUGCAAAUAAGAAAGAAGUCACUUCUGGCUUUAAGGGGAGGAGUAGAAGGCGAGGAAGCUGUUACCAUCUUCUGAAAAUACUUUGCUUUACCUUCUGUGCACGAGUAGGGGUAGAGUUUCUAUAAGGAAAACUAAAUUUUGUGGUAGAGUUAAUGAAUUCUUCUCUGGUGUGAAGACAUCAUCGUUUUUUCCCAAGACAAGAACUCCUAAGGCAGCUUGAAAAGAAACUUCGCUACUUAAAUGCUGUUCAUCUUAUGCUACUUUAGAAACAUAACUGAAGUUAUCAAACCUGUCUCCCUGAUGUUUUAUUUUGGGGUUUGCUUUCGUGUCACAGUGAAAAUUUUAAGAUUUGCGAACAGAAAGGCAAUAGGUACUCAGGUUGAAUCUUCUUGUGCUAGCAGUAUAUUGGCUUACCAGGAGAGGGCAGUCUGACAUGAGGUUUUAUGGUUGUAACUGAAUAUGAAAAUAACAUCAUCAUGUACAAAAUCUUUGAAGAGGUGCUAGCUAAGGUUAAAAUCUAAAGCUCCUUGAGAUUAAAACUAAUAAUAGCUGCUACUUCUAACAUCAAAAAAAAAAUAUCAAAGCAGCAACUGAACUACACACCAAAAUUAAUCUGGAAAGCAAAUGCUUAUGCACUGUAUUGAGAUAUGACACUCUAUAUAGAAAUCACAUUGUCGUCUUAAACAGGCGCAGCUGAGCUGUUAGGGUUUACCUAACAGCUUUUAGAUAUGAAAUCUAGCAGUGUGAGGGGAACCUUUGGAGACUGUGGGCGUUGGAUACUGAAUACCAGACUUGAAUAGUCAGGUCAAGUAAAGAGUUGUCCUGGAGGAAGAGGCAAUAAACUAGUUUGUAUGAUACUAGAGGGCUGAAUGUAAAAUGCUGCCUAGAACAUGCUUUUUGUGAUGUUGCUGUCCUAUGCAUCAGUCACAGAAGCAAUAGAAGAGAAUUCUCCCUUGAGGUUUCUUGAGUGGAUAGGCGAAGUGCACUUUAAAUGUGAAGUGAAGUGUAAGUAAAGUCAGAAGUAGAAGAGCCGAGGGUAAGGAGAAGAAAACAAGGCUUGGAUUUUCCUCCUGGCACAGCUUGGUUGAAAAGGAUUGUUAGGAAUUAUAUGUAUAUGCUUGACAGCAAUUUGCAUGGCUUUAAUGAGAGUAAGGUUGGAACCUACAGGGAAAUGAAGAGGUUGCAGUUAACGGGGCUUAAUCUGGAGAGGACUUGAGAGGAGACAAGUCUUCAAUUAUGCAGAAGGUUGUUGUAAGUGGGGUGUGUGUGUAAUAAUCUGUUCUCCAUAUCUGUACUGAAUGGGACAAGAAAUAAUGUGUUUAAAUUAGAGAUAAAUGUCUCUGUUAAACAUUAAGAAUAAGUUCCAGCAGCAGAGAUAGUUGAGCACGGAAAUACAUUGCCUUGGGAAGUUGUGGAAUCUCCAUCACUGGAGUCUUUUAAGAACAGAUUAAACAAGUAUCUGUCAGGAAUGACAUAUGAUCCUUCCUAGGGGUAAGGAUAGGGCCUGGAUGGCCUCUUGAGGUCUCUUCUGGCUGUGUUUUCUGAUUGCUAGAGAUUAGGGUUGCAAGAGGUGAUUUGGGACUCGCCUGAUAGUUAAGACCUGAGAUAGAAUCUGUCAUGGAAUAGGGAGCCGGAGAAUCACUAACACUGGGGGCUGUUUAGCAUGGGAAGGAACUGGGGAAUCUGGGGGAAAGCCCUUCAUGCAAGGCUAACAAAAUGGUCUUAGUCCUUGAAACGCUCAGAUCUCAUGUGACUGCUCUUCCUCAGAAGAGCAUCUCUAGACUCCUGGAAUAGUCUAACCUACAAUUUGGUGGCCAUACCGUUAUGCAGGAAGUGUGAACAGCAGAGCAAACGAUGCUGUUCUAUUUUCAGAUUUACUUUUCUAAAAUUGAGUUAACAUAACCUCUGAAUGAUCACCAACUUUUCUGUCCCUAUUCAAUCAACAGAAGCAGUCACUUGUCUUCAUUGCCUUGUUGGGGGUGCAGGAAUUAAAAUUAAGGUAUAUCAUGUGUGAGUGCAGACAGGUCUCAAGUCAAGAUAGUCUGAGGUUCCAGUUUUCAGCUGUUAAUUGCAGCACUAUCUGGAAUAGAUUUUAGUAGUGUUCUGCCACAUUAGGUUAGCUUAGUCAUUUUAAUACUACCUGCACUUUUAUCUGCAACGAAGUCCUUGGACAGAAGAAUGCACAAAGCAGUGUAAAACUGAGUCAUGCUUUUGUUCCAUCAGUGAAGCAUCACCAGGCAGUAUGUUGGACUGGGGAGCCGGCUGGUGCAGUCUCCCAGAGCGAAGGCUAGCCUUUGUAGCCUUCCAUUUAAGUCACUGUUUUGACUUUUUUUGUGCAGUACUGAGCUCCCUGUCAGUCUGUAUUAUAGUGGCAUCUAAAGAAAUGUAUGGUGUCGGCCAGUCUUUCACCCUCUUCAUUUACUCUCCCUACUCUUCUAAAGGGAAGCUUUUUCUCUCUUGGGAGGGUUGUUACAAAGAUUACUUUGUUUAAAAGUACUUCACUAACGUUAAGUGCUGUAUUGUAGAGACUUUAAAUGGCUUCAAGCAUGGUAAUAGCUAGCACUAAGUGUAUAUUGCUGAAUAAUUGCAUUUAGCAGAUUGCUAUGUAAUUAUCAUGCUCUGACUGGCAUGGAGGAUAAGUGGUGGGUCCUAGAAAGACUGAUUAUUAUGCCACUCUGUAAUUAUGAUGUAGUUAAUAAGUAAGAGUAAUUACAUAUCACUUUUGCUUGCACUAUCCUAUGAAGUGCAGUCUUGAUACAUUUUCACAUAGCUGAGUAUCUGACAGCUAGCAGUAAGGAGUGUGUCACAGUUGGAAUGGGCUUUGCUUAAAUUUGCUUAAUGUUAGUGGCAGAAGGUACAAAGAAUGGCACUACUUAUACUUGAAUUCUUCAGAAAGUUUUAAAGGGGAAGUGUUAGUAUUUUCCAGGAACUAUUUAUGCCAAUAUUUUGCCAUAAUUAAGAUGCACUUAAGUUACAAAAGUGGAGACGAUAUGACCAAGUUUUCUCACAUGAGUUGAGAAGUAAAAUAGUUUUCUCAACCUGACGCUCAUGGUAAGCAGGGGAAAGAAAACAACAGGAAUAGUAUAUGCCUUUUUUUUUUUUUAAACUUUGAAAUAAUCAUUGUAAAUAAAGCUUCAUCUAGACUUCAGCUUAUUUUUCUCUACUUGCUUCUGACUAAUUGGGCAAUAGAAGGGGAUACUGGAACACCUAAGGGUUGCAUAUGAAUUUCACUAGUGUGCGUUCAUCUAGUCUAGCUGCUGUUUAGAAAUGCACUAACAUGUUUGUGCUCUACUCUUCUUCCUCACUCUGAAUCCUCUAGCACUCUUUUCAUUCACUUAGACCUGGAAAGACUUUAGUGAUGAACUGAUCUAUGCACAAGGAAGGAAACAGAAAAGCAUUGUUAGAUCUAUGUAUAAGGAAAUGGAGAGAGGGGGAAAAAAAAAAUCAGCCAUUGAAGUAUGCCAAGUAUAGCUUAAGCACA